AACGAACGCUGGCGGCGCGCCUAAUACAUGCAAGUCGAGCGAGAAGACGUAGCAAUACGUUUGUAAAGCGGCGAACGGGUGAGGAAUACAUGGGUAACCUACCCUCGAGUGGGGAAUAACUAGCCGAAAGGUUAGCUAAUACCGCGUACGCUCCUUGGACUUCGGUUCAGGGAGGAAAGCGAUACCGUGGGUAUCGCGCUCUUGGAUGGGCUCAUGUCCUAUCAGCUUGUUGGUGAGGUAACGGCUCACCAAGGCUUCGACGGGUAGCUGGUCUGAGAGGACAAUCAGCCACACUGGCACUGCGACACGGGCCAGACUCCUACGGGAGGCAGCAGUAAGGAAUAUUGCGCAAUGGGCGAAAGCCUGACGCAGCGACGCCGCGUGGGGGAUGAAGGUCUUCGGAUUGUAAACCCCUUUCGGGAGGGAAGAUGGAACGAGCAAUCGUUCGGACGGUACCUCCAGAAGCAGCCACGGCUAACUUCGUGCCAGCCGCCGCGGUAAC
rnacentral:rRNA from 1 species